rnacentral:ncRNA from 1 species
AGAGGGAACCCGGUGAGAGCCCGGGACUGUCCCGCAGCGGUAUGCAGGAACGACCGCCGUCAACCGAGCACUGGUCUCGCCGAGACCGGGAAGCGACGGCCAUUAGGUGCACCGGGGUGCGCGCCUGCGAGUCCGAAGACCU